CCUCACUAGAGUGUCUCCUGGUGCGGGCAAAGUCAAGUCUGAAGCCAUAGAAAUGGUUGCUGCUGCACACAACAUCAAAGAGGAGCUUGGAGAUGAGACUGAGGAUGUAACUGUGAAGGAGGAACCAUUCCUGUAUGAUGAGGCUUGUUCAGUUGAACAUCUCAGCCCCCCACCUCCACCCUCAUCUUGGGUGCCAUGUAAGAUGG